rnacentral:rRNA from 1 species
UACGGAGGGUGCAAGCGUUAUCCGGAUUCACUGGGUUUAAAGGGUGCGUAGGUGGGUUUGUAAGUCAGUGGUGAAAUCUCCGAGCUUAACUCGGAAACUGCCAUUGAUACUAUAGAUCUUGAAUCAUCUGGAGGUAAGCGGAAUAUGUCAUGUAGCGGUAAAAUGCUUAGAUAUGACAUAGAACACCAAUUGCGAAGGCAGCUUACUACGGGUGUAUUGACACUGAUGCACGAAAGUGUGGGUAUCAAACAGG